CACUAUCUGAUCAAAGUUCUGUGCAGUCGUCUGUGAUAUCUGAAUGAAAGUGGAUACUCCCAACUUGUCACAAAACCCACUGCUUGAAAUCCUCCAAGAUGAUGCCUAAAAUGAACCAAUUAAGAACUACAUUUAUGUUAGGGGAGUGUAUACUGUAUUCCUGUUCCGGUAUAUGGUUUAGAAGAGCAUCCCCUCACCUGUAUAGCUGAUGCUUUUAUACUUGAUUGUGAAAUGGCAUUUAGAAAGGACAGACAGAUUGCAGGAGUUCUGAUGUCAUUUCCUCUACAACCAACCUAGAAGUCC